rnacentral:rRNA from 1 species
CCCGCUGAACUUAAGCAUAUCAAUAAGCGGAGGAAAAGAAACUAACAAGGAUUCCCCUAGUAACUGCGAGUGAAGCGGGAAAAGCUCAAAUUUAAAAUCUGGCGUACCUUUGGGUCGUCCGAGUUGUAAUCUGGAGAAGUGUUUUCCGCGUUGGACCGUGUACAAGUCCCUUGGAACAGGGCGUCAUAGAGGGUGAGAAUCCCGUCUUUGACACGGACUACCAAUGCUUUGUGAUGCGCUCUCAAAGAGUCGAGUUGUUUGGGAAUGCAGCUCAAAAUGGGUGGUAAACUCCAUCUAAGGCUAAAUACUGGCGAGAGACCGAUAGCGCACAAGUAGAGUGAUCAAAAGAUGAAAAGCACUUUGAAAAGAGAGUUAAACAGUACGUGAAAUUGUUGAAAGGGAAGCGCUUGAGACCAGACUCGGUGAUUGGUGAUCAGCGGUAGCUUCUGCUCCGUGCACUUGCCUUUUACUGGGCCAGCAUCAGUUGCGACGGCAGGAUAAAGGCUCAGGGAAUGUGGCUCUCUUCGGGGAGUGUUAUAGCCCUGGGUGUAAUGCUGCCUGCCGCGACUGAGGACCGCGCUUCGGCUAGGAUGCUGGCAUAAUGGUCUUCAGCGACCCGUCUUGAAACACGG